rnacentral:rRNA from 1 species
UACGUAGGUGGCAAGCGUUAUCCGGAUUUACUGGGUGUAAAGGGCGUGUAGGCGGGAGUGCAAGUCAGAUGUGAAAACUAUGGGCUCAACCCAUAGCCUGCAUUUGAAACUGUACUUCUUGAGUGCUGGAGAGGCAAUCGGAAUUCCGUGUGUAGCGGUGAAAUGCGUAGAUAUACGGAGGAACACCAGUGGCGAAGGCGGAUUGCUGGACAGUAACUGACGCUGAGGCGCGAAAGCGUGGGGAGCAAACAGG